AUCCCUCUAGGGACAUCUGAUAAAAUUGGAAUGAUACAAAGAAGAUUAGCAUGGUCCCUGCAAAAGGAUAACACGCACAAAUCGAGAAAUGGUCCAAAAAAAG